UACGUAGGGGGCAAGCGUUGUCCGGAAUUAUUGGGCGUAAAGAGCUUGUAGGUGGCUCGUUGCGUCGGGAGUGAAAACCUGCGGCUUAACCGCAGGCCUGCUUCCGAUACGGGCGAGCUAGAGUUCGGCAGGGGAGAAUGGAAUUCCCGGUGUAGCGGUGAAAUGCGCAGAUAUCGGGAGGAACACCGGUGGCGAAGGCGGUUCUCUGGGCCUUACCUGACGCUGAGGAGCGAAAGCGUGGGGAGCGAACAGG
rnacentral:rRNA from 1 species